CCCUUAGACGUUCUGGGCCGCACGCGCGCUACACUGACCAGUGCAACAAGCAUCCGUCCUUGGCCGACAGGCCCGGGCAAUCUUUGAACGCUGGUCGUGAUGGGGAUAGACUUUUGCAAUUUUUGGUCUUCAACGAGGAAUUCCUAGUAAACGCAAGUCAUCAGCUUGCAUUGAUUACGUCCCUGCCCUUUGUACACACCGCCCGUCGCACCUACCGAUUGAAUGGUCCGGUGAAAUCUCCGGACUGGCGUGAGUCGGAGCAAUCUGACAAACACCGGAAAGUUGAUUAAACCUUACCAUUUAGAGGAAGGUGAAGUCGUAACA
rnacentral:rRNA from 1 species